UGGGGAAUAUUGGACAAUGGGCGAAAGCCUGAUCCAGCCAUGCCGCGUGUGUGAAGAAGGUCUUCGGAUUGUAAAGCACUUUAAGUUGGGAGGAAGAGCAGUUACCUAAUACGUGAUUGUUUUGACGUUACCGACAGAAUAAGCACCGGCUAACUCUGUGCCAGCAGCCGCGGUAAUACAGAGGGUGUAAGCGUUAAUCGGAAUUACUGGGCGUAAAGCGUGCGCAGGCGGUGAUGUAAGACAGGUGUGAAAUCCCCGGGCUUAACCUGGGAACUGCAUCCAAAACUGGCAAGCUAGAGUAUGGUAGAGGGUAGUGGAAUUUCCUGUGUAGCGGUGAAAUGCGUAGAUAUAGGAAGGAACACCAGUGGCGAAGGCGACUACCUGGACUGAUACUGACACUGAGGUGCGAAAGCGUGGGGAGCAAACA
rnacentral:rRNA from 1 species